GGAAUAUUGGGCAAUGGAGGAAACUCUGACCCAGCGACGCCGCGUGCGGGAUGAAGGCCUUCGGGUUGUAAACCGCUUUCAGCAGGGAAGAAGCGAAAGUGACGGUACCUGCAGAAGAAGCACCGGCUAACUAUGUGCCAGCAGCCGCGGUAAUACAUAGGGUGCAAGCGUUGUCCGGAAUUAUUGGGCGUAAAGAGCUCGUAGGUGGUUCGUCACGUCGGAUGUGAAAAUCUGGGGCUUAACCCCAGACCUGCAUUCGAUACGGGCGAGCUAGAGUGUGGUAGGGGAGACUGGAAUUCCUGGUGUAGCGGUGGAAUGCGCAGAUAUCAGGAGGAACACCAAUGGCGAAGGCAGGUCUCUGGGCCAUUACUGACACUGAGGAGCGAAAGCGUGGGGAGCGAACAGGAUUAGAUACCCUGGUAGUCCACGCCGUAAACGGUGGGCACUAGUUGUGGGAACCUUCCACGGUUUCUGCGACGCAGCUAACGCAUUAAGUGCCCCGCCUGGGGAGUACGAUCGCAAGAUUAAAACUCAAAUGAAUUGACGG
rnacentral:rRNA from 1 species